rnacentral:rRNA from 1 species
AGCAGCCGCGGUAAUUCCAGCUCCAAUAGCGUAUAUUAAAGUUGCUGCAAGUUAAAAAGCUCGUAGUUGAAUUUCGGGACUAAUAUGUCGGUCGUGCCUCGGUACGUACUGGCUUAUUGGUUUCUCCUUUCUGACGAACCAUGAUGUCAUUUAAUUUGGUGUUAUGGGAAGUUUAGGACUGUUACUUUAGAAAAAAUUAGAGUGUUUAAAGCAGGCUUUAGCUUGAAUACAUUAGCAUGGAAUAAUGAAAUAGGACGUUCGAACCUAUUUUGUUGGUUUCUAGGAUCAACGUAAUGAUUAAUAGGGAUAGUUGGGGGCAUUAGUAUUCAAUUGUCAGAGGUGAAAUUCUUGGGAUUUAUUGAAGACUAACUACUGCGAAAAGCAUUUGCCAAGGAUGU